rnacentral:snoRNA from 1 species
CCAAGUGAUGAGUGAAACGCUGUGCACCAGUCUGAAAGUUCCACACGUACUCGUGGAGCAGUGAAGCAUUGAGUAUAACCCAAUAUCUGAUG